rnacentral:rRNA from 1 species
AACGAACGCUGGCGGCAUGCCUAACACAUGCAAGUCGAACGAGACCUUCGGGUCUAGUGGCGCACGGCUGCGUAACGCGAGGGAACCUUCCCUUAGGUUCGGAAUAACUCUCCGACAGGGGUGCUAAUACCGGAUAGUGUCUUCGGACCAAAGAUUUAUCGCCUUUGGAUGGUCCCUCGUUGGAUUAGCUAGUUGUUACGCUAAAAGCCUACCAAGGCGACGAUCCAUAGCUGGUAUGAGAGGAUGAUCAGCCACACUGAGACUGAGACACGGCCCAGACUCCUACGGGAGGCAGCAGUGGGGAAUAGUGGACAAUGGGCGAAGGGCUGAUCGAGCAAUGACGCGUGAGUGCUGAAGGCAUGAGGGUUGUAAAGCUCUUUUAGCCGGGCUGAUAAUGACAGUACCGGGAGAAUAAGCUCCGGCUAACUCCGUG